rnacentral:misc_RNA from 1 species
GAUGAAGAACGUAGUGAAAUGCGAUAAUUAAUGUGAAUUGCAGAAUUCAGUGAAUCAUCGAGUCUUUGAACGCACAUUGCGCCCCCUGGUAUUCCGGGGGGCAUGCCUGUCCGAGCGUCAUUGCUGCCCUCAAGCACGGCUUGUGUGUUGGGCUUCCGUCCCUGGCAACGGGGACGGGCCCAAAAGGCAGUGGCGGCACCAUGUCUGGUCCUCGAGCGUAUGGGGCUAUGUCACCCGCUCCCGUAGGUCCAGCUGGCAGCUAGCCUCGCAACCAAUCUUUUUAACCAGGUUGACCUCGGAUCAGGUAGGGAUACCCGCUGAACUUAAGCAUAUCAAUAAGCGGAGGA